rnacentral:lncRNA from 1 species
AUGUGCAGUCCCAUCUCUCCCAAAGAUCCCAGGCCAGCCGGAGCUGAAUGCAAGAACUAUUUAAGAAGCCUCAGCUCCUCUUCACUCCCAGGGACAAUGGCUGGAGGAAGAAAUGAGAGGAUCUCCAUACCCAGGCCUUGGCUUCUACGUCCCUUCUCGAAGUGGUUGAAGUGCAGAUUUCUGAUUCUGUACCCAGCCUCCAUGGACACAGUACACAGUAUGCUGGGAAUGGUGGUGGGUGUUUGAGGUGUCAGGAGGCCACCAUGGGCCUGAUCUUCAGGACAGAUGCCUCUUAAGACUUGGGCUUUGACUCAUACACUGUUACUGCCACCCAUGUCCUGUUGGCCAAAGUCAAUUUCAUUACCAAGCCCAAGAUCUGUGGAGUGGAGAAAUGCAUUUUGAAGGGGAGGGAGUCAAUAUGUAAUGAGCACCAUGAUAUACCAUAGAGCAUUUGUAGUCAUGAGCCUGAUUUAGAUGCUUGGUGGGGUAUCUCUGUGCUCUUAGGAAUUGUGUCUCUGUGUCUGUCAGAGGUGAUAACAUUGUAGCUGAGCCUUAAAAAAUAAAAGUUUCCUCAAACACCUCUGUGACUUCUGUGAUGCCUUCUGUUCACCACUCACAGUAGCACUGAAGGAAGAAAAGUAGUAACAUGUGAAGUGCAUAGGCAGCCCAGGGAGUCAUGCAUCCUAGUUCUGCA